UCACUUUAAGGGAGUUGGCAAUAUUUCUCUUGAAAAUACUCCUCUCCUUCAACGAAUUUCGUCGCAUCCCAACAGCUUAUUAGCCCCCCCCCCCUUCAUUCGGAAACUAGGGGCGUAGGGUUGAGUUCAAAGACUAUGGUAAGAAUAUGGAAUCAGCCUGUGAAAUAUUGUAUUUAAAAUACACUUUCUCUGCUUUUGGUGUGGACGUGAUGAUUUUAUCUCUUUCGAGCAAUGAUUCACUGUUAUCAAAGCGUCAAAAUUGAAGAUGCAUCCUGAAAGGGGUACCCUGAGGUGUGAGGUAAAAUAGAGGAGGAGGGCAUCACUGCCACGUUCACAUGACUGACCUCCAAACACUACCGAGAUUUGUGUCUUCUGUCUCUCGCCCCCGCCUUAUCUAUCGUAACGAACGAUGAAAACUCAAGAAACCCCUUAAAAUAAGAAUUUUUGGUCCUUUUAGAACACUCUCAAGACGUAUCAAUUAUGAAGCUAAAAAGCAAAGAGUACAUUUACACUAUGCUAAAAACACACCAUUUCUCGUUUGAGGCAUUUCGAAAUGUCUUCUAUUACUUGAUUUUAUCUCGGGAAAACCAACGAACAUCAUAGAAUGAAAAUGGAAAAUAUAUUCAGGCAUACAACGAGAAAUCGUGCAACAUUUUGCAAAUGUUCGUAGCUUGUUCUACAUGAUUCUCAUAGGCGGAUUGAGAAGGGUGCCCGGUGCCCUCAACUUAACCGUUAAUCGGAGGACCCAUGACUCAUCAGGGAGUGGAAGGUUCCGCCAAAAAGAAGAAAAAUUUCCAGUGAAAAUGAGUGAUAAACCAGCCCAAUCAAAGAAUCCUAUCAUUCUAAUUAUCCGUGGUUGAAAUCCAAGUUUGCUCAGUCAGAGAUACCCCGAGGUUGGAAAGCAAGUCUGAAAACAAAAGAGACGAAUAUUAUCUCAUCGAUUCUUUUCAGUUGAGAUCUUACUUCUGUCACCAUUCACUUAACUCUGCUUCGUUUCUAUCAAAAGAGGUAAAUCACAGUUUUGCAAAUUACAAUAUUAGUUUAAUACCGACCUUAAUACUCAUAGAUGUUUGUACUGUAUUGGUAGUUUGGAGAAAUGUGCGAGGUAAUUUAGUGAUUUCGGAAACUCAGAUCGUAUUUUUUCUAUUUUUCUUUGUGCCAGAUACCAAAGCACAGUUAACUUACAAAGCCAUGAGGAUUUUUGCUGUAUUUGAUACAUUUGUGCCAAGGGUUUGAUGUUCAAAACCAGUUGAAGUUAACAUAGAAGGAAGAGUUUUCCUCGAGGCAAAUUAUUAUUUCUUAGCUACAAGCACUCUGGUUUUUCUCUUCACAACAAACCUCAACCUUAACCUUCAACCCAGUAAUUAUACCUAUUCGUUCACAUGCACUUUUGCGAUUUAAAAAGCUUGCGAGUUCACCUAAUAUACUUUCGAUUUUUUCAAUCCAGCCGCGAGCGGAUAUAAUAAAAAAUUUCACACCACAAUCUGACAAUUGUGAUAAUCACCAGUGAUUGCACACGCUCCAGACUGACACCUACCCGCCAAUUACAUAGCUCCGCAUUUUCUCGUUCAUUCAGAGCAUGCCGAUGCCAUGAGAUAUAGCAGUAACCGUUGCCACCUCUUGCCGAGGCACAAGGAGAGCUCCGGUGAGCUGACAUUGAAAUCUAUCUGUUUAAUUUGUGACUGUGCAGAGGAAAAGAUCAGAGGAAAGUCAGUUUUUAAAAAAUGGAGAGUUUCAUAUUGAGAACAUUCCCUGCUAAAAAUUUUCCAUGGA
rnacentral:lncRNA from 1 species